GACAGAGGUGCCAAGCGUUAGGCGGAAUCACUGGGCUUAAAGCGUGUGUAGGCGGAUCGUUAAGUACCUUGUGAAAUCCCACGGCUCAACCGAGGAACUGCUUUUGAUACUGCCAAGCUAGAGUGCGGAAGAGGAGAGUGGAAUUCCUGGUGUAGCGGUGAAAUGCGUAGAUAUCAUUUGGAACGCCAAUGGUGAAAACAGGUAGCUGGGGCUGUGCUGACACUGAGACACGAAAGCCAGGGGAGCGAACGGG
rnacentral:rRNA from 1 species